rnacentral:lncRNA from 1 species
CAGCUCAUGCAGCACGGCUUUCUCCUGACCUCACCAGGUUCUGAGUUCAACCCAAACUGGUGGCAUCUCCGUCAACAGCACAGGCAGCAAAGCCAAUAGGAACACAUGAAAAGGGAAGUGACUUUUCACAGAGCAGACCACGGGGGAAGAGUGAGAACCUGAAGACUAUCAGAGAACUCCUAGACUGUCACUCAGAAGCACUCAACGUCUCAAUCUGCACUCACAGGGACUUCACUUAGGAUGCUUUGAAGAAAACCAAAACAAACUAAAACAUCUCUUAUCCUGGACCCACCUCCAACUACAACUAAAUGCUGGUAGUUUUGG